GACGAACCGUGCGAACGUUGUUCGGAUUCACUGGGCUUAAAGGGCGCGUAGGCGGGUUACCAAGUCAGGGGUGAAAUCUUUCGGCUCAACCGGAAAACGGCCCCUGAUACUGGUAGUCUUGAGGGAGGUAGGGGCAGGUGGAACUUCCGGUGGAGCGGUGAAAUGUGUUGAUAUCGGAAGGAACGCCGGUGGCGAAAGCGACCUGCUGGAUCUCUUCUGACGCUGAGGCGCGAAAGCUAGGG
rnacentral:rRNA from 1 species